UCCGGUUCACCACCGGCAGUCUCCUUAGAGUCCCCGCCAUGACGCGCUGGCAACUAAGGAUAGGGGUUGCGCUCGUUACGGGACUUAACCCAACAUCUCACAACACGAGCUGACGACAGCCAUGCAGCACCUGUCUCCCGGUUCCUUUCGGCACUCCCACAUUUCUGUAGGAUUCCGGGGAUGUCAAGGGUAGGUAAGGUUCUUCGCGUUGCAUCGAAUUAAACCACAUCAUCCACCGCUUGUGCGGGCCCCCGUCAAUUCCUUUGAGUUUCGGUCUUGCGACCGUACUCCCCAGGCGGAGUGUUUCACGCGUUAGCUGGGCCCCUGAUCCACGUAGACCAAGGGCGAACACUCAUCGUUUACGGCAUGGACUAC
rnacentral:misc_RNA from 1 species